UGCGUAGGGUGCGAGCGUUAAUCGGAAUUACUGGGCGUAAAGCGUGCGCAGGCGGUCCGCCAAGUCUGAUGUGAAAGCCCCGGGCUCAACCUGGGAACUGCAUUGGAAACUAACGGGCUCGAGUGUGGCAGAGGGGGGUGGAAUUCCACGUGUAGCAGUGAAAUGCGUAGAGAUGUGGAGGAACACCGAUGGCGAAGGCAGCCCCCUGGGCUAACACUGACGCUCAGGCACGAAAGCGUGGGGAGCAAACAGG
rnacentral:rRNA from 1 species